AAAAAAAAAAAAAAAAAACUAAAAAUAUUUUGAUAAUUCCCUAAAUGAUGCUUAUCUUCUUAAAUGUGUCUAUCAGAUCUUGUUUUUAAAAGAUGUCUCAUCUAACUCAGGCAGGCCAAUCAGGAGGGGAAUGUGAGGCUAGUGGUGACAGUAUAAUUGAAUCCUAUGUCCUGUUUCCAUUCAGUCAAAACAGGUGUUUGACUGAUGUUCAGAUCAUGGAUAUCAAUGGAACUGACUUCAACAUUGAAAGGGUCAAGACACUCCUGUUGCAGUCCAGAAAUGUGCCAGAUAUAGCAACGUACCAGAUGGGAUUUAAAAACGAGGAGAGCCAAAAAAUAAUAGUGACUGAGGAUAGUCAGAUAAUAACUGAAUUCAUCAACUAUCUUUUGAACAGUAAUUUCACAAUCGUCUUUCUAAAAACAGUUUCUGGAAAAUCAAAGUGAAGCCAUUGAGUCUUAUUUUUUUUGUUUAAUGUUUGUUUAAAAAAUAGUUUUGAAUAACAAAGUGAAUGAAAUGAUUGCAUGAUUAAAUGCAUGACAAGUAGGACAUAAUCAUCUUAUUUUUUUUUUUGAAGUAACAUCUGUAUUUUAUAAGAUAAGAGAAAAUGUGAAACAGUUACUCAUUAGAUUAUUAGCAGGUUUCAAUGCUCACGCUUAGAUUGUACUGGCAGCUUUAAUUUUUAAAAAUCUUUUAGCCUUAGUUUUUGUUUUGACUCUGUUUUUUUUUUACUGUCAAUGUAAGAAAUUUUUGUUUUCUUAACUCUUUCUCUCCGUAAUUAUUUUCCAUGUUGCAAUGGAAUCAUUCAUUUUGCUCAUUUGUAUUUUGCUAUCAUGUUUCGAUUUAACUUCCAUAACGUUUUUGUUUGUUCUCAGAAAUUGUUUUAUUUUGUAUAGAAUCUUAUCUUAUCUUAUAUAAUACAGACAUUACUUCAAAAAAGAAAAUGAUUAAAGAGGGCUCCAUGCUCUUUGUAAAUUAAUGAAAGUUGAUAAAAUCAAAAAUUAAUUAAAUUUAAUGGAGUCAAAUUGAUGUUGGUAUCAUCAAUUAGGAAAGAGUAAAAUUGUGUAUCUAUGUUUUUUUAUACUGAAUAAGAAGUUGUUGUUUUUUUAGAACUUUCUAAGCAUUGGCAAGGUUUUGGAUUUCUAUUUAUUAGAGUUAAUGUAAUUCCUGUAAUUGAUAUUUAAAAGAUCUAAAAUACACCUGAAGUCAUUCCUAAAUUGAUUUUUGUUAAAGAACAAAUGUGCUAAAAUAUUUAUAUAAAUAAUUGAUGUAGAAACAAUAAGCAAGCAAAGCAAAUGGAUAGUGAAAAACUUUUGAAAUAGAUUUGAAAUGAACAAAGAGAUGAAUGGAAACAAAGAGUCAGAGUUUCAUUGGUUCAUUUUUGUAAACUUCUUAUUUAUUUGUUACCUGUUUUGGAUGCUUCUCCAGAGCUGAUGAUUAUUAUAUACUAGCCCCAACCUCACCCAGGGUAGAGGGAUGUCAGUGGCCAGUUUUUGAUUAACUGGGAAUUGAGUUGACAGUCCAGAGUGCAUACCACUUGUCAAGGCUGCCACCCAAGCCUCCUUACAAAUUUUCUAUAGUCUUCAUUUUUUUUUUAUUUCAAAUAUAUUUUUUUUUACAUUGACAAAUUAUUGCAUUAGUUUCUAUUAUAUAAUAACUAUGCUAAAGAUCUAGAAUUUAAAAUUAUAGUUAGCAGCAGGUGUAAAAGUACCAUCUUUGAUUUUUGAAAUGUAAUUGUUCAGAGAUUGAAAUGUUUGUAUACUUUAUUCUUUUAACAGUGUUUUACAUUUUUAAGAUCUCUUGUUUGUAUAUAUUUUUAAAAAGCACUUAUGUCACUGACAUAUAUUUUUUUUAAUUGCUUUUAUAUUGCACAUUUUUCAUGCAUGCUCAAUGCACUAUAAUCCAAUCUCUUUUGUGGACCAGUUGGAGGAAGGGGGUAUCAUGGUGAAUGUUUCCAUGCUCCCUAAAGGCGCUCAGCGAACAACUCUGCUGAAGUCAGGAUUAGAACUUGAGCCGCCUUGUUAAAUGGCCAGGCAGCUUUGGCCACUCAGCCACGUAUAUUAUUUAUUUGUAUUUUCAAACAAAAGUGCUUGAAAUAAUGGAUCUUCUUUACUUUGAAUUAUAAACUUGUUGCUGAACAGCAGAAAUGAAAUCUCAAUACAACACGACCAUAUCAUAGUUGUUAUUGUGCUUUAGUUUUUUACAGGGUGGGACAUAAAGAUCUCCCAGAUUUGAGUGGGGCACUGUAUGGGUUGUAGUGGCAGUAAAGAGACAGGACAUGUUCCAUUCAGUAGGCUAGGCUCUACCAUUUUUUUGUCAUUAUAACAAUAUUUCUUAAUUUUUUUACAGCCUAUCAUGAAUUAGACCAUUGAACAUUGUGUCUUAGUUGAAGCAUAUAAUAAAAAUAACUUAUAUGUAAUUCAAAAUGCAUCUGUACAAGACCAGAAACCAAUUUUUGUAAAUACAUUAAAACAAGUUUUUUUUGUGUGUUUUUUUCAGAAAUAUAAGCAUUUUGUUUCUAGAUAGUUAGGUUAUUUUGGUAGAUUCAUUCAAAAUGUAAGAGAUUUUUAUGCCCCACCAUGUAGAACAGUCAAAUUAAUGACUUUUUAAUAAAUUAAACUGAAGUACAGCUACAGAAUCAAUUUGAUAAUUUAACUGUCUGUUAUAUCAUUAUUUCUUUCUAUUUUUUUCUGAUACUUUUUACUAUUUAUGUUUCUCAUUUCUGCAACAUAGUACUCACUUUUUGGCUGUGAUUUAAAGUUUGUGUAGCAAUACUUGAAUCAACUGUUUUAUUUUCUUUGAUGAAAAAAAAAACAGCCAAUGUUAUAUUUUAUUUUUGUAUUCCUGUGUUGUCACAUAUGUGUGUGUUAUGUCACCCUUGACAGCACACACUAGUCUGACCAGCAUUUAGAUUAUUUAAUGUGCUUCUUCACUGUCAUAUAUUUUAACUCAUGUAUCUCUACAGUGCUUUAUUUCAGCUACUCAAGUUUUAUUCAUUUUAUUGUUUGAAAGCAUUAAACUCAAGGGACUAUAUUUAUCACAUUAUUUCUUCAGUGUAUCCUAGUAGCAUGUUGGAUAUACUGUUAUAAUCCUGUCCUGCAGUGGGUCUAUCACUGUGCACCAGAAAGAACACUAGGUGAAUGGAUGAUGAAAGGCGGAAGUGUACUGUUGUUGAUAUUAACCUUGUUCUAUUAUCCACUCAUUAAACUUGUAUUGCCAUUGC